AUUGAACGCUGGCGGCAGGCCUAACACAUGCAAGUCGAGCGAGCGGCGGACGGGUGAGUAAUGUCUGGGAAACUGCCUGAUGGAGGGGGAUAACUAGUGGAAACGUUCGCUAAUACCGCAUACUAUCGGCUGUUCCCAUAUGGGAUUAGCUUGUAGGUGAGGUAACGGCUCACCUAGGCGACGAUCCCUAGCUGGUCUGAGAGGAUGACCAGCCACACUGGAACUGAGACACGGUCCAGACGCCUACGGGAGGCAGCAGUGGGGAAUAUUGCACAAUGGGCGCAAGCCUGAUGCAGCCAUGCCGCGUGUAUGAAGAAGGCCUUAGGGUUGUAAAGUACGUUCAGCGGGGAGGCGUUACCCGCAGAAGAAGCACCGGCUAACUCCGUGCCAGCAGCCGCGGUAAUUC
rnacentral:rRNA from 1 species